UACGUAGGGUGCGAGCGUUGUCCGGAAUUACUGGGCGUAAAGAGCUCGUAGGUGGUUUGUCGCGUUGUCCGUGAAAACUCACAACUCAAUUGUGGGCGUGCGGGCGAUACGGGCAGACUGGAGUACUGCAGGGGAGACUGGAAUUCCUGGUGUAGCGGUGGAAUGCGCAGAUAUCAGGAGGAACACCGGUGGCGAAGGCGGGUCUCUGGGACGGUACUGACGCUGAGACGCGAAAGCGUGGGGAGCAAACAGG
rnacentral:rRNA from 1 species